GUGGCGGAGGAGGAAGAGGGCGCCGGCGGCUUUCGGUCACAUGGGUCCAAUGUGCCGAAAAGGAGAGCAAGGAGACGGCAGCACCUUCUUCCUAUCUUCACCUAGGAGAACUUAGAGAUGUAACAUCAACGUGGUGGGCAUAGAUCAGAAAGGCAAGUUGUUGUCAAAGGAAAUCUUCACCUAGGUAAAGUUGCGCUCUUCAACGCCUUCGUCUUUGUUGUCUCCUACACCAUUGCCUACACCCUCACCCACUACGACGGCCCCUGCAGCAAGUUCGAGGCCGGCCGCAACCACGACAUUGACGGCAUCCAUAACAAUCACGGAUCCUUCGACAUCUGGAUCGACCGCUGCUCCGUCGUCGACUACGACGACGAGCUCAUCGACAUCAUGCGCCAGAGCAUCGACAUCGCUUGUCUCCAGGUCGUCCCUUCUCUGUUAUUUGUCCCUGCUACUAAGUCACUCACAUGCUUGGUUUCUCUCAACAAGUAUCGUUGAUUACAUGGGAUCACUGUAUUGUGCUGAUGAAAAUAAACGUGUGUGUAUGUGAUUGCAUUUUUUUGCAUGAUUGAUAUAUGAUGGUUGCUCACAAUGUACACUGGUAUGCAUGCAUUCUCCACGAACUUAGAUUGGCACUCUCUUUUAGACCAGCUCUUCAUUCUUGUAUUUAAGUUGGUACUAAAUCUGGAAGAGGUUUAUUGUAGGUUGAUGUCUUUUCCAUCUCAUAUUUUUCAUCCAUGUAAUAUGAACAAAUGCACACGAUAUAGACAAGAAUCUUUUCAUGAGCUUCACCAGCCAUUUUACAGAAUAUACAAUGCUGUUUUCUUAUGCAUUUUAAUUAUAUUUACAGCUGUAAGUUUGUGAUGAUACAAAUGAAAGUUGCAUACAGAGUUUCUUAUUUAUACUAUUGUUCUAUCCAUGCUUAACAUAUAAAAAUUUCUGUUAUGUUCAUACUACUUAACAGUCAGUAGUUUAGUCAUCUUACAAAAGUAGGCUGUACAUACUCAAAUCAUCAACUGGACACCAGAAAUAUUGACUUCUCUUUGCUCUUUCGUCAGCCAUUUUACUUGAGCAUUCAUAAAUUUGGGUCCUCAAGACGUGUAGUCAAUAACAGUACUUUGCUAUCACCAUUAAUAUCAUUAAUAUCCAUAGAACACGCUCUUAUCUUCCAUAUCACACAACAAUUUCUGUCCAUGUAAAUAACUUGCUUUCUUCUACCAGUAUUUUCAGUUUAAUAACUAUACUUGAAGAGAACCUGCUGGACUACAUUGAUCGAAACAAUGAUAUACACUCAUGGUCAGACUUGCAAACGGCCAUGUGCUCGCCGAAUGUCGCAUCAUGCUAGGAACUGAUAAGAGGGCCACUAUAACCACCAACUGGUCUGAGUUUCGUCGCUGCGUCAACAUUCACGAAAGAGACAUCUGUGCAUUUUGUUUCAGGAUCACUUCAAAGUGCCGCCUUGUUGUCACCGUGCACUGCCUCUAGAUGCACCAUCGAAGACGCUACAACCCCUGUGUCAAUAUAAUCUAAUAUAAUGUAGCACUAAGUAUUCCUAAUUAUGCUAUAUCCUGUGAUAACUUAUGGUUUGCUUUUGGGCCCUCUUAUCACAUGCUUUUCAAGAUGCUAAACCUAUGUUGUUGCUUAUGUUAAGUGCACUAUUGUCAGU